rnacentral:rRNA from 1 species
UACGAAGGGGGCGAGCGUUGUUCGGAUUUACUGGGCGUAAAGGGCGCGUAGGCGGCCUUGUCAGUCAGGCGUGAAAGCCCCGGGCUCAACCUGGGAACGGCGCUUGGGACGGCGAGGCUGGAGUUCGGGAGAGGAGAGUGGAAUUCCCAGUGUAGAGGUGAAAUUCGUAGAUAUUGGGAAGAACACCGGUGGCGAAGGCGGCGACCUGGGUAGAUACUGACGCUGAGGUGCGAAAGCGUGGGGAGCAAACAGG